GCAUUAUUCGCCGGAUUAACCACCAUUGGACUUUUAUCUAUGGGGUUAUCUAAAAUAUAAAGUUUAUUUGGUAAACCUGAAAGUUUAGAAGAAUUAAAAAAUAGAAUUAGAGCUAAAAUAGAACAUAUCCGGUCUCAAACAGACAUACCUGAAACGCUUCGGGAAAAUAGACAGCGACAAUUACUGCUAAGAAAAAGACACUCCAGAUCAUGCCGUCUUUAAGUACGAAAGGUGGACAGCAAAAAGACUAGAAUCAGAGCUAUAACAGGAGAACAGCUACAAUCUGAAUAUUUAAUAAAAACCAUCUUAUCAAAAAUAUCACGUAUUACAAAAGUAUUACAAAAUCACAGUAUUACAAAAUCACUUACCUAUUAAAAACAAAGGACAAAGAAGACAAUCACUAGGAAACAGAGCCCCGAACGCCAGAAGACCGGGUUGUCUGUUAAGCUGAUUUUCCUAAACUUCUAUAAAAAAAGGGUUAUAAAGUACUCGUCAGGAGCUUGAAAAUGAUGUGCCACAAGACCACCCUUUCCUUUUAAUUUUUUUUGUCCAAGAUGGCGCCCAGCAACGGAUCAAUUCAAUGUUUUGAAUUGAUCCGCUCAAAAAAUAAAGAGAGGGGAGAGGGACAUUAUAAAGAAAAGUACUGUAUAUAAUCAGUUAG